UACGAGGGGGGCAAGUGUUAUUCCCACUAACUGGGCAUAAAGGGCUUCGAGGUGGUUAUAGCUGUUAAAGGUGAAUCCCUAAAGUUGAUUUUAGAAUGGCCUUUAAAACGUAUAACUUAGAGUUCGUAUAAGGAAUGCACGACGUUAGGUGGAGAGGUCACAAUCAUUGAUACCGAACGGGGUUCCAGGGGCAGAGGCGGCAUUCCAAAAGAACUGACACUUACGGGCAAAAGCAUGGGUAUCAAACGGG
rnacentral:rRNA from 1 species